GAGUGCACCGAGGCUUUCAGCCUGCGGGACAGUGGUGCGAUUUGCAUUAGAGGGAAAGGGAAGAAUCGUGGGGAGAAGCAACGCAAGACCCCGGAAGCAUGCCAACGUGUAAAACCCCAAGUCAAAGGUCAAACAGUGCACUGGAUCUCUCAAGUCGCCUGCUUGGCCCUCUACUAAGAAGGGAGAUGCCAUGUGCUGGCCCAGCACUCCAACAGGGGCCUGACCUCUAGGAACGGGACACUGGAGGAAGCCUAGACAUCUGAACAAAUCAAGUCAUCCAGAUCCACGGUCAGCUCCUGCCCCGACUUGGCCUUCCUCCUGCUGGGCUGGCCCACGGACCUCGGGAACCUGCCCUGGCUGUGGGUGACCUGCAGGAUUAUUAAACUUCGGCAAAACGUUUUAAAAGUGUCAUGAGUUCAAGAGGAGUAAUGAUUCAUUGAAAGAGUAAGACAUUGGAAAUGGCUCUUGGAGGAGACAAAAUUGGAGGACAGGCAAGAUUUUGACAGGAAGAGAGUUGGGGGGACCCUUUGCUAGAGGACCCCUGGGUAAGGCAGGCAUGGAUUAUAUAUAUGUAUAUAUAGUUAUCUGCAUGAUCAGAUCUUAUUCUUACUCACCUUGAGGCUCGAAAUACUUGCUGGUGGGGCACAUUGCAGGUCAGCACAGCCCAGCUUCUCAGGUACAUGACUAUCUCCCAGGACUAUGGAAGCCCCAUGCAGGAACAUGGUUCUGACACUUUGGGGAUUAUACCCUAAGCUUAAAGGACUGGAAAAGCCCCUGAAGUCCCGAGACCACAACCCUCCACCUUCUAAAGAUAAGACAAGUCACUGAAGGUAAAAUCAGCUCCUCAGUGUCUCCAAGGACAGGAAUGCCAUGGGCUGGGAGGCGCCAUGGGUGACUGGACCCCUCAGAAGCACUGAAAAGCUGUGGGUACAACUACACCCUGUCAGCC
rnacentral:lncRNA from 1 species